UUGCAAACUAAGAGGAGAAAAAAAAGAGAAAAGGAAAGAAGCUAUCUAUUCCCAUCGAAUAAAGUGGUCGUAAAAAGGAAAAGAACAAGAAAAUUUACCAAAUCAAGAUAUCUCCCCUCAAAUCUCUCUACAGUUAC